GGAUUGAACGCUGGCGGCAGGCCUAACACAUGCAAGUCGAGCGGUAGAGAGGUGCUUGCAUCUCUUGAGAACGGCGGACGGGUGAGUAAUGCCUAGGAAUCUGCCUAGUGGUGGGGGAUAACGUUCGGAAACGGACGCUAAUACCGCAUACGUCCUACGGGGGAAAGCGGGGGACCUUCGGGCCUCGCGCCAUUAGAUGAGCCUAGGUCGGAUUAGCUAGUUGGUGAGGUAAUGGCUCACCAAGGCGACGAUCCGUAACUGGUCUGAGAGGAUGAUCAGUCACACUGGAACUGAGACACGGUCAGACUCCACGGGAGCAGCAGUGGGAAUGUGGACAAUGGGGCAAAGCCUAGACUCCGAGCCAUGCCGCGGUGUGUAGGAAGGUAAGGUCGUUCGGAUUAGUAAAGCGUAACGUUUUAAGGUGGGAAGGUAA
rnacentral:rRNA from 1 species